GAGAAAGAAGAGAAGAAAUGGCGUCGUUGUGCAGAUCAGCUCUGAUGGCCCAACGCUCGAGAGCCCUAACGCAGGGCGCACUCAACGCCUUAAACCCUAAACCCAUUUCCUCUUCUUCGUCGGCCUUUGCCUCCUCCACCAAACCCAUGAUGUCCAGCGCCACAAGGUUUGUUUCAGUGUUGGGAAGCUUGGAAACAAUGAUGCCGCUGCACAGUGUGGUUGCUUCUGCGAGGCUCAAGUCCAACAUUGCUUUCGACUCCACCUGCUGGAGUUGCCUCUCUCAGGACGUUGCAGUUCCUCGGUGACAACAACUCUGGGCUGAAAUCAAAUAGUGACUCCUACAUCUUUCUCCUUUCAUUUCCCCUUUGAUUUCUCACAAUUGCAUUUUGGCUUAUUCAUCCCAGCUGAACACGAACCAAAUCUAACCGAGCAACCUGGCAUUGGUUCAAUCAAGUUGUAUUAUACUGAGCUUCUCCUUAUGGUGCAGAAUUUGCUGUUUGAGCCUGUUUCUUAGACAAUUCCUUGAUCAAUUUUGAUUUUACCCGAACUAUAACGGACCCAUUCCAUUGUUAUAGCUCAUAAUGUAUGCUAGACACAAGAACUAAAACUUGUGAACCUAAAUAUAGGAACCGUGCCUUUUGUUUGUAUCGUUAGUACUUAGGUACUGCUUAGUAGGGUAUCUAUCUGUUUGGCUCAUGUGGGAAAUGGGAUGCAUGGGAUGUGCCAUGGCAUCAAGCUGAAUGUGAGUAAUAAUGUAUUGUUGAUGGUCUAAAUUUAAUUUCAGAUUCUUAUACA